rnacentral:rRNA from 1 species
AUUGAACGCUGGCGGCAGGCCUAACACAUGCAAGUCGAGCGGUAGCACAGGGAGCUUGCUCCUGGGUGACGAGCGGCGGACGGGUGAGUAAUGUCUGGGGAUCUGCCUGAUGGAGGGGGAUAACUACUGGAAACGGUAGCUAAUACCGCAUAACGUCGCAAGACCAAAGAGGGGGACCUUAGGGCCUCUUGCCAUCAGAUAAAACCAGAUGGGAUUAGCUAGUAGGUGGGGUAAUGGCUCACCUAGGCGACGAUCCCUAGCUGGUCUGAGAGGAUGACCAGCCACACUGGAACUGAGACACGGUCCAGAAUCCUACGGGAGGCAGCAGUGGGGAAUAUUGCACAAUGGGCGCAAGCCUGAUGCAGCCAUGCCGCGUGUAUGAAGAAGGCCUUCGGGUUGUAAAGUACUUUCAGCGAGGAGGAAGGCAUUAAGGUUAAUAACCUUAGUGAUUGACGUUACUCGCAGAAGAAGCACCGGCUAACUCCGUGCCAGCCGCCGCGUAA